rnacentral:rRNA from 1 species
GACGAACGCUGGCGGCGUGCCUAAUACAUGCAAGUAGAACGCUGAAGAGAGGAGCUUACUCUUCUUGGAUGAGUUGCGAACGGGUGAGUAACGCGUAGGUAACCUGCCUUGUAGCGGGGGAUAACUAUUGGAAACGAUAGCUAAUACCGCAUAACAAUGGAUGACACAUGUCAUUUAUUUGAAAGGGGCAAUUGCUCCACUACAAGAUGGACCUGCGUUGUAUUAGCUAGUAGGUGAGGUAAUGGCUCACCUAGGCGACGAUACAUAGCCGACCUGAGAGGGUGAUCGGCCACACUGGGACUGAGACACGGCCCAGACUCCUACGGGAGGCAGCAGUAGGGAAUCUUCGGCAAUGGGGGCAACCCUGACCGAGCGACGCCGCGUGAGUGAAGAAGGUUUUCGGAUCGUAAAGCUCUGUUGUAAGUCAAGAACGGGUGUGAGAGUGGAAAGUUCACACUGUGACGGUAGCUUACCAGAAAGGGACGGCUAACUACGUG